rnacentral:lncRNA from 1 species
CUUAACUUUACAAAUGAUGCUGAAAUGAAAUCCACAGUCAGUGUCUCUUACCACAUCUAUACUUGUUUCCACAGGUGGACUUGCUGCAGAAUAGCCUUCAAUGCACAGACCUGGCUUAGCUUUUCCUCUCUAGACUAUUUGGAAUCAAGGCAAACUUCUUGUCUGAAUGCAUGUGAAGGCAGUAAGGGUAUUGGAAUGUUAUUGAAAAUUAUUUGCUGCCUCUCUCUGGAUGUGACUUGGCCCAGCUCAGUGCAGGCUCCGUGAUCUCUCACUGAGAUGGGUAUUGAAGAACGCAAGAUGGCAACUGUAGCCCCAAGGCAGGAAACCACUCAACAUUUUAAUGAGAAAGGCAACUUUACUGAAAAUUUCCCACUCUCUGACCUGGGAUGGGGUGCUGAACAUCUGAAUAGCACACCAAAGGAAGUCUUAAAAUGAUAAUUAAAAAAUAAUAUUUGAAUGACAUCAUACAUUUAUAAAGUACAUUCCUACUGUCAAUCUCAUUUUAUUAUACCUUCACCUAUAGAGAGCUUUACAGGUUUGAUUUUAAUAUCAUUUAAUCAUGUGAACAACUCAAAUUGGUAGAUUUCUUACCCUCAUUUUACAAUGAGAUUGGAAUUGACAUUCUGAUUAUUCUUACUUUACAGAUGAUAAAACAGGUUUAAAAAGACAAUUGAGUACCCCAUUGAAGGGUACUCUGGGACAAACCAAAUUCCUAGUUCAGGGUCAACUUCACUAUGACAAUGAGUUGUAUGGGAACUUGACCAGGUGUAAAAGUGAGCGAUUUAACUUAGAUAUUAAGUACCCAGCUCUGGAAAUUAAACAGUAAUAUGCACGCCUCAAAUAAACUUAGAAUCAAGUGUGCAUUCUCUAGAAUACAGUGGUGGAGUUAAUAUCUGAGAUAUGUAUAACUGCUCUCCAUAGCACUCAGGCCAAUGACAUUUUAAUAGAUCUUAGACACUACUGCCUUGUCAUCUGUUGGGUGUUGAGAUCUGGACUUUGG